CACUGGUGGAAUUCAUUGGAAGUAAAAUUAGUAAUACCACACUUUAAUAAUACUCUGUAGCAAGUAAAAGUCCUGCAUUGAAAAU